rnacentral:rRNA from 1 species
GAUCCUGGCUCAGGAUGAACGCUAGCUACAGGCUUAACACAUGCAAGUCGAGGGGAAACGACAUCGAAAGCUUGCUUUUGAUGGGCGUCGACCGGCGCACGGGUGAGUAACGCGUAUCCAACCUGCCCAUCACUUGGGAAUAACCUUGCGAAAGUAAAGACUAAUACCCAACUGAUAUUCCCACCGAAGGGACGAUCCGAACUGGGAGUUAAAAGAAUUUAUUCGGUUGGAUGGAUGGGGAGUGCGUCUGAUUAGU